ensembl:lncRNA
GGGGCACCAUCUUAGUUAAGGGCAGGACUGUGGGCCCUUCAGGACUUUUUCCGAGGAAGGGCGGAAACAGGUAAUUGCGUUUCCACAUUUUCCGGAAGCCUCUCUGCGAAGCAUAGAAGGGUUUCCCAUGGUGCCGCCCCCGGUCCGGUUCCCGGUGGCGGAUGUGCCCGGGGAGGCCAGGACCGGGCGGACGAGGGAAGGCAGCCCAGGGGCCGUGAGGUUCGUCGCAUGUGGCCGUGUACUUCUCCCCGGAGGAGUGGGGGCGUCUGCGGCCUGCGCAGAGGGCCCUGAACCGGGACGUGACGCAGGAGACCUAUGGCUUCCUGGGCGCGCUCGGUGGAAAGAGAGGUGGAGGCGUGGAGCCCAGAGGCCCAGGAUCCAGAUCCCUGCAGCUGUCAGCAGAGACGAGGAAAAGGUCCUUCACUUCAAACCCCAGGUCGUGACCUUUGAGAACCUCCUCCCUCACUCGGAGCCUCAGCACACACUGCCCACUCUAGAGCCCCUCCGUGUCUCCCUGCACCUGAUCUGCAGAAAGGGCUCAACAGAACAGCUAAAUUGAAACUGGUAGCACUCUUGGGGCCGCGUUGCCACCAUCUCUUAGUAAGGCACGUUCCAGUUCUGGUUCUGGUGCACCUUCAGCCACCCGCGACUAGUGUUCAGUUCUCGGGCUGAGGCUCCUGGUCCCUCUUCCAAGUCCCACUUGAGGUUACUUCACUGAAAACCAUUCACCUAACUGGCUUUUCUUUCUGGAUUAUGUUCUCCCUUAGUGCAUUCUGCUUUCUGGACUGUAUCUCUCCCGCUCCUCAGAGACGGAGUACCCUAGAUUCAAGAGCCUAUUAAAGGAGCUGGUGCUCCCUGGAAUAGAGGGCACGCUUUGGGCCUGUCCGCACUGGGGAAGCUCAUCCAAGGAUUCUGUCUUUUAGCCAGAGCAGGUCAAGUAGCUAGCAAAGACACACAUGUGGUGUCAAGCCUCUGUUGGCAUUGUUUGGUCUUGAAGACUUAGAGGUGCCCGUAAAGAGGACAGUGGCUUCAGGUGAGGAACUCUCCUGCUCCACACUUGCUCUGCACAUGGUGCACAAAGGUAUCAAACUUAGUGAGCUUAAAGGGUUUUUUCUCCAAACUUUUAUGAACUAGUAAUUGCAAUGUGUUUUUUUUUCCCAGAUAUUUGCAUGUUUCCUGGAUUUUGCAUCUUUUGAAUAAAGAUGUAUUCUUGGGCCACAGCAGCUGGAAAUAUGAUGCUGGGGAAUUUUUUUUUUUUAAAGAAGGAGUAUAUUACUUGUGAUUAGAGUUGAAAUCAAGGCAUAGUUAUCUUCCGUCUUAAUUUUUACUGUAAUGUUUGUAUGUGUCAACAGUUGAGAGGUCUUUCUGACCUAUUUAGAUUUGCUAGCCCUACUUUAGAACAGGAAACUCUUGAAGGAAUAAAAGCAAGGAGGUGGGGGGGACUAAGCAUGUCUGCAUGUCAGGAGUGGUGCUGGGUGGCUCAGCUUAUCUUUUGACCAAAAGACUGCUUCUCCAAAUACCUGGGUUCCAAAGAUGAUUAUUAAUGGGAACUGACGGUUAUUUUUACUUCACCACAUAGCCUCUCCUGAAUUGGUAGACCUGGAUUCCAGGUUCAGCUCAGUUCCCACUAGCUGUGUGGCCUUAAGCAUAUUAUAUUAUUACAUUAUUCAGAUGUAAACUGACGAGUAAAAUUUAAGAACUAUAAUGACCUCCUGCAUGUUUCCUAACUUCUCAUAAUUAUCUGAUCAAGAUUCUUCAACAAACAUUUACAGUUUGGUGGGCAAUAAAACAAUCUGAAAGCAUCGUUUUUGUAUUUUUAUAAUGAUUGGCAGGAAAAACAUGACACCAACCACUUAUGAGCAAACAGUUUUAGUCUUGAACGUUGCAAUCUGAUGGUUAACAGCCAAGUUUACUGUACUUAGCUCCAUCUUCUUAAGUUUUCUCCAUCCCUAGUGCAAAUAGAAAUGAUUUACAACAUAGUACCUGAAUAAACAGAAGUAUUUUUUGGCCCAAGUGAAAUGCUUUACAGCUUCUCUUUACAUAAAGUUGAUUCCCUGUUUUGUUUUGUUUUUAAAUAAAUUUAUUUAUUUAUUUUUG